rnacentral:rRNA from 1 species
CUACGGGAGGCAGCAGUGGGGAAUAUUGGACAAUGGGCGCAAGCCUGAUCCAGCAAUGCCGCGUGAGUGAUGAAGGCCUUAGGGUUGUAAAGCUCUUUUACCAGGGAUGAUAAUGACAGUACCUGGAGAAUAAGCUCCGGCUAACUCCGUGCCAGCAGCCGCGGUAAUACGGAGGGAGCUAGCGUUGUUCGGAAUUACUGGGCGUAAAGCGCGCGUAGGCGGUUACUCAAGUCAGAGGUGAAAGCCCGGGGCUCAACCCCGGAACUGCCUUUGAAACUAGGUGACUAGAAUCUUGGAGAGGUCAGUGGAAUUCCGAGUGUAGAGGUGAAAUUCGUAGAUAUUCGGAAGAACACCAGUGGCGAAGGCGACUGACUGGACAAGUAUUGACGCUGAGGUGCGAAAGCGUGGGGAGCAAACAGGAUUAGAUACCCCAGUAGUC